rnacentral:piRNA from 1 species
UGGGAUGUCAUGGCUUAGGGUUAAUGUGC